UGCGCAAUCAGCCGAUCGGUGGCGAUUGCUUUCAGCUCGGCCAUGCUGCAAUUAAUUUCGUCUCGAAAUUAUAAUUUUUUUUUUUUUUUUAAUAUUAAGUAGUACCGCUUAUUAUUUUAACAGGUUUUAUUCUAUCUGCGGAAAGGAUCGUAUCCAGGGGUUUCUGCUUAAUAUUAAAGCCUGGGAUGUCCUUAACGACAUAGCGACUAUUGCCCAGACUUUUUGCAAUAAGGUCCUCAUCGACGGUGACAAGGGCCUUCGUGAAAUUGGCUAGAGAGUGAUCCGAAUGGCUGCGUUGGUCAAAACCUAACAUUAGUUUUGCUGGACUUGAUUUAG